rnacentral:rRNA from 1 species
UGGGGAAUUUUGGACAAUGGGCGCAAGCCUGAUCCAGCAAUGCCGCGUGCAGGAUGAAGGCCUUCGGGUUGUAAACUGCUUUUGUACGGAACGAAAAGCCUCUCUCUAAUACAGGGGGGUGAUGACGGUACCGUAAGAAUAAGCACCGGCUAACUACGUGCCAGCAGCCGCGGUAAUACGUAGGGUGCAAGCGUUAAUCGGAAUUACUGGGCGUAAAGCGUGCGCAGGCGGUUUUGUAAGACAGUGGUGAAAUCCCCGGGCUCAACCUGGGAACUGCCAUUGUGACUGCAAGGCUGGAGUGCGGCAGAGGGGGAUGGAAUUCCGCGUGUAGCAGUGAAAUGCGUAGAUAUGCGGAGGAACACCGAUGGCGAAGGCAAUCCCCUGGGCCUGCACUGACGCUCAUGCACGAAAGCGUGGGGAGCAAACAGGAUUAGAUACCCUGGUAGUCCACGCCCUAAACGAUGUCAACUGGUUGUUGGGGAUUUAUUUCUUCAGUAACGAAGCUAACGCGUGAAGUUGACCGCCUGGGGGAGUACGGCCGCAAGGUUAAAACUU